rnacentral:rRNA from 1 species
CUACGGGUUGCUCCAGUCGAGAAUCUUCCGCAAUGGACGAGAGUCUGACGGAGCGACGCCGCGUGCGGGAUGAAGGCCUUCGGGUUGUAAACCGCUGUCAGUGGGGAGGAAAUGCAUCAGGGUUCUCCCUGGUGUUUGACCGAUCCGCAGAGGAAGCGCAGGCUAAGUUCGUGCCAGCAGCCGCGGUAACACGAACUGCGCGAACGUUAUUCGGAAUCACUGGGCUUAAAGAGUUCGUAGGCGGCCUUUCAAGUCGGGUGUGAAAUCCCUCGGCUCAACCGAGGAAUUGCGCCUGAUACUGUUGGGCUUGAGGGGGAUAGGGGUGAGCGGAACUGAUGGUGGAGCGGUGAAAUGCAUUGAUAUCAUCAGGAACACCGGUGGCGAAGGCGGCUCACUGGAUCUCUUCUGACGCUGAGGAACGAAAGCUAGGGGAGCGAACGGGAUUAGAUACCCGCGUAGUC